CUCGACGUCCACGUUGAUGGCACACCCGUCACAGCACUCAUAGAUACAGGAGCACACAUAUUGAUUAUGACCAGCCGCAUUCGCCGCCAUUUAAGGAAAAUUGUUACGCCUGCCGUUACUCGGUUCGUA
rnacentral:lncRNA from 1 species